AUUUUAGGGGAAAAACAGGGAUUUCUAUGAAAAUAAGCGAUAUUUUAGGGGAAAAACAGGGAUUUCCAUGAAAAUAAGCGAUAUUUAAGGUUAAAAAUAGGGAUUUCUAUGAAAAUAAGCGAUAUUUAAGGGGAAAAACAGGGAAUUCCAUGAAAAUAAGCGAUAUUUAAGGUUAAAAAUAGGGAUUUCUAUGAAAAUAAGCGAUAUUUUAGGGGAAAAACAGGGAUUUCCAUGAAAAUAAGCGAUAUUUUAGGGGAAAAACAGGGAUUUCUAUGAAAAUAAGCGAUAUUUUAGGGGAAAAACAGGGAUUUCUAUGAAAAUAAGCGAUAUUUAAGGUUAAAAACAGGGAUUUCUAUGAAAAUAAGCGAUAUUUUAGGGGAAAAACAGGGAUUUCCAUGAAAAUAAGCGAUAUUUUAGGGGAAAAACAGGGAUUUCUAUGAAAAUAAGCGAUAUUUAAGGUUAAAAACAGGGAUUUCUAUGAAAAUAAGCGAUAUUUCAGGUUAAAAACAGGGAUUUCUAUGAAAAUAAGCGAUAUUUUAGGGGAAAAACAGGG